GGCGCUUCAGCGGCGAGUGCUGUUUCCGCCCCAGACCCGGUUCAAACGCUGCUGCCGACGCGCACUGUAUAGCUGCAUAAGCUGCUCGUAGGGCACGUCCAGCAUCUGGUCCAGGCCCACACCGCGAAAAAAAGGUUUACCACAGUGGCUCAAGGAAAACGGAACCAGAGUAAGACAGUUUCUACUUGGACUUGGGGAACCAGCAAACUCAUUCACUUACAAUCAAGAACAAACCGAUUAAAUUGAAUAAAGAAUCUGGCAAAUCUAGCUACUAUGGUUUGGCUUAGUGUCCCCACCCAAAUCUCAUGUCGAAUGUGCUGGAGAAGGAGCCUGGUGGGAGGUGAUUGGAUCAUGGGGGUGAAUUUCCUCCUUGCUGUUCUCAUGAAUGUCACUCAAAGGAGCCAAGCCCCUUUGUCAAAUCAGGAGCUCCAUCAGCCAAUCAGGAACCCAGAUGCCAGCGUGGGAGUUUGUCAGUGGAAAUAACAUUGCAUGACUUCCAAGUCUGGGUAAGAAAAGGUGACAUAUCUAUCCCCGGCUUUCUUGGGACAGGUAGCUACCUUGAACUCUGGGCCUCCAUUCUGGAGCAGCUACUUAGACACAGAGGGAGAUGCCCAAGAAGUCCUAGGCUGCUCUAUCCUCCCACCUGUUUUAGUACCUACAUCAACAUGAAUGAAUAGACUUGAGAUAGUCUCAGCUUCCAGUCCCCAGUUCCUAGCCGGUAAUGAGUAGAGCGGAGACAAACUGUUAUACCAAUCCUUGUCCAAAUUGCAGAUUCGUGAGCAAAAUGUUGUUUUAAUUCACAGCAAUAGUUAUUGGGAAAAAUGACCAAUUUGUUUGUUUCUGUAUGUAUGAAUGUUUUGCUUAUCUGGAAUGUUCGUCAGUUAACUACAUGGGUACCAAACUUUGCUCAACUUGAAAACUAACUAUGUGUCUGAUAGUACUCCAAAAGUCAUUGUUAAACAGUUAGCACCCAGUAACAUUUUCCUACAAAUACAUGUUUAAUGAACCUUAGAUAUAAUGUAGAUUAGUCUUUAAAAAAAAAAAACAA
ensembl:lncRNA novel transcript